GACGGAGGAUGCAAGCGUUAUCCGGGAUUAUUGGGCGUAAAGCGUCCGCAGGUGGCCUAUCAAGUCUGCUGUCAAAGACCGGGGCUUAACCCCAGAAAGGCAGUGGAAACUGAAAGGCUAGAGGAUGGUAGGGGCAGAGGGAAUUCCCAGUGUAGCGGUGAAAUGCGUAGAGAUUGGGAAGAAUACCGGUGGCGAAAGCGCUCUGCUGGGCCAUAACUGACACUCAGGGACGAAAGCUAGGGGAGCGAAUGGG
rnacentral:rRNA from 1 species